AGCAGCGUAGCUCAGUGGAAGGUGCACGGGCUUGGGGAGUCAGAGGUCAUGGGUUCGAACCCCAGCUCUGCCA
rnacentral:tRNA from 1 species